GACGAACGCUGGCGGCGUGCCUAAUACAUGCAAGUCGAACGCUGAAGAGAGGAGCUUACUCUUCUUGGAUGAGUUGCGAACGGGUGAGUAACGCGUAGGUAACCUGCCUUGUAGCGGGGGAUAACUAUUGGAAACGAUAGCUAAUACCGCAUAACAAUGGAUGACACAUGUCAUUUAUUUGAAAGGGGCAAUUGCUCCACUACAAGAUGGACCUGCGUUGUAUUAGCUAGUAGGUGAGGUAAUGGCUCACCUAGGCGACGAUACAUAGCCGACCUGAGAGGGUGAUCGGCCACACUGGGACUGCGACACGGCCCAGACUCCUACGGGAGGCAGCAGUAGGGAAUCUUCGGCAAUGGGGGCAACCCUGACCGAGCAACGCCGCGUGAGUGAAGAAGGUUUUCGGAUCGUAAAGCUCUGUUGUAAGUCAAGAACGGGUGUGAGAGUGGAAAGUUCACACUGUGACGGUAGCUUACCAGAAAGAGACGGCUAACUACGUG
rnacentral:rRNA from 1 species